AGUGAACGCUGGCGGUAGGCCUAACACAUGCAAGUCGAACGGCAGCACAGUAAGAGCUUGCUCUUACGGGUGGCGAGUGGCGGACGGGUGAGGAAUACAUCGGAAUCUACUUUUUCGUGGGGGAUAACGUAGGGAAACUUACGCUAAUACCGCAUACGACCUACGGGUGAAAGCAGGGGAUCUUCGGACCUUGCGCGAUUGAAUGAGCCGAUGUCGGAUUAGCUAGUUGGCGGGGUAAAGGCCCACCAAGGCGACGAUCCGUAGCUGGUCUGAGAGGAUAAUCAGCCACACUGGAACUGAGACACGGUCCAGACUCCUACGGGAGGCAGCAGUGGGGAAUAUUGGACAAUGGGCGCAAGCCUGAUCCAGCCAUACCGCGUGGGUGAAGAAGGCCUUCGGGUUGUAAAGCCCUUUUGUUGGGAAAGAAAAGCAGCAGGUUAAUACCCCGCUGUCCUGACGGUACCCAAAGAAUAAGCACCGGCUAACUUCGUG
rnacentral:rRNA from 1 species